GACUAUUUGAAAAGUUACAAAGUUCUCAUGAUACUCUAGAAUACUUCAGACGACCUCCUUUGCCUUGUAUUUUCAGCCAUGCUUAAAUUAGCUCAGGUACGAUACUCCAGUCUUCAAUCAAAGUCUAUCUACUCAUUCGAGCACCUUUGGAAGUAAUUUGCCGUAUAUUUUAAUAACAACCGAGCAUAGCUGAAGAACUCCAACAGCCUCUUCUCAAUUUAGUAGGGAGAGGGAGAGUUGUAGUGCAACUACAUGAUAUAUU
rnacentral:lncRNA from 1 species